GCAAGUCCCAAGUUGAGCUCCCUGUCCUCCUGCAGGGUUGAACUCUGCAAAGCUCUACUGCAGGUUCCUGCUGCCCUUCUUCUGAAGAUAGUCCAGGUUCCAAUGGGAGGUGGUGAUCCCUUCAACUUACCAAGUGUGGUGGUCUGGGAUUGAACUCAGGACCUUGCACUUGUGAGGCAGGCAGGUGCCACUGAGCUACAUCCUCAGCCCCUAAUGGUCAGUUAUUUAAAUGGUCCUCUGCAUUCACCUGGGAUGAAGGCUUAGAGGAGGCACAUUCUGGGCAAGCUGAGUAGCUGCUGUGAUGGAGCAUAUGG
rnacentral:lncRNA from 1 species